CACGCAGCGCACAUAACAGCGUAUUCCCUAUUUGGGCACUGAGAUUUUUCCACAGGGGACAAAUCCCCCGCAAAAUAGAAAAGUGGCAUCUUCCAUUGUGAAGGGGGCUAUUUAUUUUGAUUUGAUUAAGGGUGCUUUAGUUGGGCCUCGCUGCGUAAUCCCCUGAGAAUAUGUCUGGAAAAGGGGAUCAAGUCUCUUUAAAACCUGAAGGCUUUUCUGUGCGCUCAAACGAGGGAAAGUUAGACGACAAUGUUCCACACGGGGGGGCGGAAGAGCGAUACUGAAUAUGGUAAUGGCUUCACGGUGUCCUCGAGCUGCUUCGGCGAAGACACUUUCCACACGACAUAAGACCGCUUGUCCAACAGAGACGGAGGGAGCGCGAGGGGGCGGAAAGAGAGGAAGACAGACAGACGGUGAGGGAGGGGGAAAGGCUCCUACCCGCCAACCCCCGAGAUAGGAUUUAUACAGAAUCAAAAUAAAAGUCUUUCCCAUAAAAGUCAGCAACUCUGCUUGAAUUUGUCCAGAAAUUGUGAUGAAAUCUACUGUGGGAGAUGGGAAAAGAAAAAGCGGAUUAUUUGUGGGGAGGCUCUGGUGAGUCGGUGAGCUGAGUACAGCUGACACCUGUCAAGGGUUUUGGGGCUAUAAUAGGGAAGCGUUCAGGAAGAAAGGAUGCCUGCUAACGAACACAGGAGGAUAUGUAUGGUGCGCUCUGUGUGUGUGUGUGUGUGUGCUUCUGCCUGAUUGUGUGAAUGCAUGUGUAAUACUUCGGAGACCUUGCGAGCACUGAAACACGCAUUUCCACGUUUCUUCCACUCAUAAUGAGCGACUGGCGGAGACGCUGUGGAAGAUCCUGGGAGCGGUGCCCUGCAGCCCGACUGCUCUCGGCUCAGCUGGACGAACAAGGCCCCGGUCAGCAGCCUCUCUCAGCCCUCUCUGGACGGCUGUUGGGACCCACGUCAUGGGCCACCAUCUAUUCCAGGGGUUCGUUUAUAGCAUCUGGACACUGAAUUCUUCUCUCUGAAGUCCCAAAAGCGAGGAAGCGUCUGGAAUUUUCCAUCUCAGCGUGUUCACUCGCUUUCUUACUAUUUUUUCUUUUUGGUGAGGUGCUAAGCUAAAUCUGUUUUGAAAAACUGUGUCAUUAAGUCGGCACGCCGCACUGAGGGAACUUAUCAGUUUUGAUGUACUACCAUUCAAAGUGAUGUGGGCUCAGUCGCCUCGGCUGACAGCAGAAAGACAGAGUAACUGCGGGAUGGGGUUAAUGUAAAGCUUUCCUAUGAGAGCCUUGCUCUGUCCUGACAAGAAUGAUUCACUUCCUGAAGGAUUGGUGCCGAGCCAGAAUGCUUCUUCAAGGACAGAUAGCACGCUAACCCACUUUUUAAAAUGACUGAGAGCUCAACCUCAAAAUCCUACAGUAGGUGUUUUCAUAAGAGCCAUUCGGGCUUUCAAUGACUUUGGAAGUGCUGUAAGAUUACAUUAAAACGGGAAGAUGGAUUAUUGCUGAGGUAAAAUUUUGUCCAAUUUAGAAAAAAAAGAAGCAAUAAUGACUCCCUGUGCUGAUAUAUUUAAAACGCUUCAGGGGUAAAAAAGUACAACUUAGUGUUAACUUCCAAAUGCUUCCAGAAAAAAAGCACUUCCUGUCAGGAAAUUCAUAUAAAAAUGUGCAUCUUUUCUUAGCCAUGAUUUUGGUUUUAUGCACGAGAAACCAGGUUUAAGAUGUCCAGUGUUAGCUUUCAUUAUGCACAUGCAUACGAUGUUAGCAUUAAAAUGCAUUAACAGAAGUGACUCUGCCUUCUCUGAAUGUUACUCCUGCUGCUCUGGAAACUAACCAAGGAAGGACAAGAGGAAAGGAGGACAAGGAGGAUGCCAUUUCUUAUUUGCACCUUCUCGUGUCCUUGUAGCUCAGUCUUGGUUUCUCGCCUGCUUCUCAGCACUUGUGCCUUUGGGGAGUCUUGGUGGUAUUUAUAGCGCGAUAGAGGGGAGGAGAAGGAGAAGGAGCGCUCGUGGUGCUUCGUUCACAAUUACAUGGAAAUUCCCGGCACGGUCACGCAUUUGUUGGACGCUAUAUCCUGCGCCGGGUUUAAUCCCCGCAGUCCCGCGGGAGAGCUGGAGCGUGACCGAGCAGAUUACCGUCGACUGCUUCCUCAGCAGGCCGGACCCGCCGACGCUAACGGCCGAGGUGGGAGCUCUGCCGUCUGCGGCGGAGCGAGGUGUGAUGGUGCACCGGUGCACCCUCUGGACCUGUGAACUCCAUCAGUGAGGAGUGGAACGCAGAUUACAUGGCUACAUGCUUGAGCUGCCAAGGACGGGAGCGUGGGCAGGCUGUGCACAUGUGGCUGAACACAAAUAAAAAAAUUCAAUAGCAUUUUUCCUCUUUUCCUUUCUGUGAAUGUGGUGGGAGUGAGCUGGGAGAGGUGGGCUUAGUUGGGGAGUGUGUCAAGUAUAAUCAAGCCGGUAAUCAUAUUUUAGGAAGCAAGGAUGUCUCUGUUUCCUCCUCGAAUCGUUAUGAAACUGCUUUACUUAAUAAAAUAACUAAGUCUUUUUAAAGCUGUUUAAUCAGCUUUAGCACUUCAAAUGUUUGACAUCAGACGGGUCAAUACAGACGCAGGAAAAACAGAUUCUUUCCUUGCUUCUCACUAUUACACUGCAGCGUUCAUGUACAGCUGGGUGGGAUGGAUAUAUAUUGUGCUUUUGCAGCAUCCCCUCUUGCCCGAGGCCCCCACAUCUUCUACCAGCCACCUCAGCACCUUCCCCGGCAGGGUUUCUGAGCCUGAGCCGGGCUGGGGUGCGCCUUGGGGCUGCUGAGCUCCACACACUGUCAAUUUCCUCCAAAAACAUCCACUCGCUCCCUUAGGCAUUGGCUUGAGUCAUGGCUUUUUCUUUCUUCUUCUUCUUUUUUUUUUUGGCUGAAUUACUCUGUGGCUCCGGCAAGGCACCAAGGCUUAAAAGUCCUGUCUGAAGCACGGUCAUUACCAGUGGAGUGCUUAACCCCCGGAGGGGGGUAUGUGGUGGAGGGAACUAUGCGAUGGGUGGGAGAGAAAGCAGAGCUGAGACAGUCUCUGAAUCUUUUUCCUGUAAUAGCAUAAUAUCCUCCUCCCCCAUGUGUGUGUGUGUGCGCUGUUCUCAACAUGCUGCUCUGCACCGUGUCCAAGUGCAGGUCUUGGAAACAGCUGCUGAGGACAUUUGAGUCUCGAGGAGAGCCUGAUAUCAGCUGAGAUCAGGUAAACUCGGGAUAUAAGGCCUUUCAAAGCACCACGAUAAACACGGAGCAGCUUAAGUGUUUGGACCGCCUCGCUGCAACAGCUCUAACACACAGUCACAAACAGCAAACCUCUGGUUAGUGUUAUCUGAUCAAAGAUCGCUUCAAAAAGCAAAAAAAUAUGUAAGUAUUAUUUGCAGAGAGGCCGUGUCCUCCAGCAGACUCAUGUAUCACAUUAACUGUGUACAGGAUGGAGCUUAUGUAGCUGAUUACACAAGUUCAGCUACAGUCGUUUACCGGCGGAUAAAAAAAGCAGUCGUGUAGCCUUUAAAGUUACAGACACCAGACUGUUUUAUGUAUUUUGCUGAGCUACAAACUGCUUCAGUGUGUGUGUGUGUGUGUGUGUGUGUGAGAAAUGGCUAAAAGACAAAAUGCUGUUACCCAUUACACACAGAAACACAACCUCUCCCAGCACAGACAGGCCAAGAGAAACAGCAGAGCAGAGUUCAGGAACUUGGAGCUAGUUUCUGUGUUGGCUAAUUUGCUAGUUCGCUCGGGAGAGGGAAGGGAAGCAGAUGGAGCUGUCAUUAAGAACAAUGACCAGCAGCUGUCUGGCCUGUUCACUCUGCUAAGGACCGGGGCCUGGCUAUGUCCUGGAGUCAAUAUGAAGCCUUAGACGAAACAUUAUGAUGUGAAAGUGCACGAGGUGUCUCAUCAGAACACACAUCGGUCCCCAUCAGUAGGAAGGAAGCGAUUCCUGUUUUGGACAGUUGAGGCUAAAGGAUCACGUGAGGCUUGAUAACCUACUGCAGACACGACACUGGACUGCCGAUAUUUCUCCAGAUCAUGAUUCAGCGGAUGAAGCUCGUGACGUGUCAGCCGCCUCGUCAGUCUGGAGCUCAUAAUCUUAUCAUGAGGAGGGCCAAGAGGUGUGUCCAGGGUUCAAGUGUCUCAUGAAUAUUCUGAGUCACGCUGGCUUUGAAUGCCCACGAUGAGACCUGCCACACAGGAUGAUAGAGGACUGUAUCAGCUGUGUGUGUGUCGUAGACUGUAGGAAACAGUGAAUGGAAACGUCUUUCAAAACGACUCUUUUUGUAUUCCUCAUUAGCAAACUGUCUUUGACACCAGUGACACCGAAGUCAAGCCCGGUGUGACGGUGAGCGCGAGGCCAGCGGUAAUCAAAAAUGACAAAUGUGACUCUCCAAUCUGGGGCCAAACUCCUCCGUAACCCCUCUGAAUGGAUGAUAGGCUGGACUGGUCCUCCCAGCGGACCAGUCAGGAAGCAGAGGCUGCUGCACAAAUGUGAUGUCAGUUAAAGUCAGCGUGGGGCCUGUUAAUGGUUCUGGUGAUUAUAAUUCAGCACGAAGCCUGACAGCGGUCGCAGUUUUCUCUGCUUUUUUAAACUAUCGCCUGAAAGUUCGACUCUCACGUUUGAGGCGUUCGUGCUCGCUCGAGUUUUAACAGACUUUCUGGUAAAAUGACACGUGCUAAAUAUAGACUCGUGAAUCAGCUCUUCAGCAAAUUAGGAGCUCAGAGUAACGUGAAAUCCUCAGUUUUAGAAAACAUUAAACAAUUAUGAUUUCAAGGGUUUUUACACUACAGCUGGCGUCCUACAUCCUGUUUGACCAUUUCUCACCUUGUGACAAAACUGUAUGAGAUCCUUACAAACGUUUUGUUACAGCUCUCGUCAUCACAUCACCAUCUCUACACACAUAUAUUUAAUAAUGUUUCCUGUAAUAAUAACGGACAAACAAAUAUUCGAAGAUCUUCUUUUCAUUUAAAUGUU